rnacentral:rRNA from 1 species
AAGACCUUGCGCUUUUGGAGCGGCCGAUGCCUGAUUAGCUAGUUGGUGAGGUAAAGGCUCACCAAGGCAUCGAUCAGUAGUUGGUCUGAGAGGACGACCAGCCACACUGGGACUGAGACACGGCCCAGACUCCUACGGGAGGCAGCAGUGGGGAAUUUUGGACAAUGGGGGCAACCCUGAUCCAGCCAUGCCGCGUGAGUGAAGAAGGCCUUCGGGUUGUAAAGCUCUUUCAGCCGGAACGAAACGGUUACGGUUAAUACCCGUGACUACUGACGGUACCGGAAGAAGAAGCACCGGCUAACUACGUGCCAGCAGCCGCGGUAAUACGUAGGGUGCGAGCGUUAAUCGGAAUUACUGGGCGUAAAGCGUGCGCAGGUGGUUUUGUAAGUCAGAUGUGAAAGCCCCGGGCUCAACCUGGGAACU